rnacentral:lncRNA from 1 species
UUAGUACAUCUCUGUGAUAAUUAAGAGACUGCUAAUCUCUUAACCUCUGCAAUAAGAUAUGCUUCAUUAUUCUUUAAAUUGUAGCUGACACAUAGUAUACCUGAAGCACCAAUUUAAUUCCUUUCUUCCUCUUUUUUUAAUUUGGUCUCUCCCCCCAGCCAUGAGGUACCCACGCAAGCAGGAGCAGUGAUUUACCUGCCAGCCUUUCGCUGGUGCGAAGAACAUUUCAUUUUGCUAACGAUAUUUGCUGUUUGAUAGAGCUCCUCAAGGU